rnacentral:tRNA from 1 species
CAAAGUGUAGCUUAUUUUAAAGCACCUGGCCUACACCCAGAAGAUUCCAUGCAAAGUGGCCGCUUUGA